CGAGACAAAGCCAAAACCUGCGUGAGCAGGUGACGGAAAGCCGCGGGUCUUCACCGAGAGACAGCCGGGCCGCCAAAG
rnacentral:ncRNA from 1 species